rnacentral:rRNA from 1 species
CCUANGGGUGGCAGCAGUGGGGAAUCUUGCGCAAUGGGCGAAAGCCUGACGCAGCGACGCCGCGUGCGGGAUGACGGCCUUCGGGUUGUAAACCGCUGUCGGGAGGGACGAAGCUCUGACGGUACCUCCAAAGGAAGCACCGGCUAACUCUGUGCCAGCAGCCGCGGUAAUACAGAGGGUGCGAGCGUUGUCCGGAAUCACUGGGCGUAAAGGGCGCGUAGGCGGCCCGGUAAGUCGGGGGUGAAAUGCUGCGGCUCAACCGCAGCACGGCCCUCGAGACUGCCAGGCUUGAGCACGGUAGAGGCUGGUGGAAUUCCCGGUGUAGCGGUGGAAUGCGUAGAUAUCAGGAGGAAGGCCUGUGGCGAAGGCGGCCCUCUGGCACUGUACUGACGCUGAGGCGCGAAAGCGUGGGGAGCAAACAGGAUUAGAUACCCCUNUANUC